UACAGAGGUCCCAAGCGUUGUUCGGAUUUAUUGGGCGUAAAGAGCGUGUAGGCGGCUAGAUAGGUCCGUUGUGAAAACUCGAGGCUCAACUUCGAGCUGUCGGUGGAAACUUUCUGGCUAGAGUCCGGAAGAGGAGAAUGGAAUUCCUGGUGUAGCGGUGAAAUGCGCAGAUAUCAGGAAGAACACCCGUGGCGAAGGCGGUUCUCUGGGACGGUACUGACGCUGAGACGCGAAAGCGUGGGGAGCGAACAGG
rnacentral:rRNA from 1 species